GGAUGUGAGGACAAGCGCUGGGGCAUCUGUCGGUCCGUCCUUGCCGGGGCCAACCUGCUGACCUGGCCAGCCGGGCGGGGUCCCCAACCGCAUCCCUCACCGAUCCCUGCGUGUCCCUCUGGAAGCUGCCCCUGCGGUCCACGCGGACCCUUCUGCGAAGAGGAGGACCGCUCUUCAGUCAAGGGCCGUGAGUGACAGCGGCCUCCGCGCCAUCCUCCAAACUAGCCCUCGGUGCGUUUGUGCGGGACGUAGGGCGGCCCAGCUUCUAGGACCCAGACACCUCCAAAUGAGGCACGUGUGCCGCCCUCU
rnacentral:snRNA from 1 species